AGUGAAUAGAUACCCAGGUAGUCCUGGCAGUAAACGGUGCGCGUUUGGUGUGGGAGGAUUCGACCCCUUCUGUGCCGGAGCUAAACGCGUUAAACGCGCCGCCUGGGGAGUACGGUCGCAAGAUUAAAACUCAAAGAAAUUGACGGGGGCCCGCACAAGCGGUGGAGUAUGUGGCUUAAUUCGAUGCAACGCGAAGAACCUUACCUAGCCUUGACAUGCAUCUCUAAGUCGGUGAAAGCCGGCGACCAUAGCAAUAUGGAAUUUGCACAGGUGCUGCAUGGCUGUCGUCAGCUCGUGUCGUGAGAUGUUGGGUUUAAGUCCCGCAACGAGCGCAACCCCUGUGAACUGUUGCCACCACACUACGGUGUGAGCACUCUGUUCAGACUGCCCUGUGAAACGGGGAGGAAGGUGGGGAUGACGUCAAGUCAGCAUGGCCCUUACGGCUAGGGCUGCACACGUACUACAAUGCUCAGUACAGAACGAACCGAAACCGCGAGGUGGAGGAAAUCCCGAAAACUGAGCUCAA
rnacentral:rRNA from 1 species